rnacentral:rRNA from 1 species
UACGUAGGAUGCAAGCGUUGUCCGGAAUUAUUGGGCGUAAAGAGCGCGCAGGCGGUAUGACAAGUCAGAUGUGAAAGAGGCCGGCUUAACCGGCAAGGGUCAUUUGAAACUGUCAGACUAGAGUGCAGCAGAGGAUAGUGGAAUUCCCGGUGUAGUGGUGAAAUGCGCAGAGAUCAGGAGGAACACCGAUGGCGAAAGCAGGUACCUGGACCAUUACUGACACUCAGCUGCGAAAGCUAGGGGAGCAAACAGG